ACUGUAAAUACUAUAAUAUUUUACAAUGGAUCAGUUGUUUGCUCUAGCACUUAAAAAUGCAGAAUCUUCUACAGAUCAACACCACACUGGAGGAGGUGAACAGGGGUCUUCGGGACAAAAAUUGUCAGCUUGAAGAGAAGAAUGUCGCUCUACAUCAAAAACUCCACAGCACUGAGAAGAUGUAUAGACAGACUCUAAACGAGCUGACCAAAGCCCUGAUUCAAGGCAAACAUGAGGAAAAGCAACAUGUAAGUAAGCCUAAGACAGCCUGCCAAAUACUGAUCCAUAACCGCUCAAUAGUAAGCUAAACUACGAAGUACUUAAACCAAACCAUAAGCCCCAGUAUCAACACUCGUAUUGGGUCACGUGAUAGGAUGUCUUUGCACACAUUUCUAACGCAAUUUUUGUUCUCUCUUCAGAUUGACACGCUACAAGAGAAAAUCCAGACCAUAUCUCGGAGAGCCUCUGCUGCUGAGCAUGCUCUGGCCAUGGAGAAGAAUGAGGCAGCGCUACUCCGCCAGAGGAUUUUUCAACUAACCUCAAAGAAGCUGAAAAUAGGAAAGCCUGGGUUCCUGAUCAAGACCACCCCCAAGCCCCCGAAAACAACCAAGACCAACAAACCCUUCUUGAAGACCUGCAAAUUUCUGAAAGCUUUCAAAGCACUAAUGAAGAUAUGAAGGCAAUGCAUACAAUUGUACAUUUUGUGCAAUUAUUCUCAGGACACGGGGUUAAGCAGAGUACAAUAAAUAAAUCCAGAUGCCUUAUUCCAUCAAACAACUGCAACACGUGUUUUAUGUCAUUUAUAUGGUAGGUCUCAUUAGAUAUCAUCCAACUCUUUAAAAAUGCCUUUGUAUGCAGAUUUCUGCUCUGUUGCCAUUAGGUAAGAUACAACUCCAUGGGGCUUACCUGCCAAGACCUCCAUGGAAGCCACAUAUCCCAUCAAUUACCAAAGCCAAAUGGUAGGCCUAUGAUGAAGUCUAUUUUCUAGGUCUCCAGGGCUAUUUUGGCGACGGGAAACCCCCACCUGAAGGUCGAUUUGUCCUCACUUUGCAACCCAGACUCUCUUUAGGGACCUGAGCUGUUCAAGAAACCUAGACAUCUUAACAGCUGUAGAUGGUUCACUUGAGUGCUUUGCGCUGAAGCACGAAAAUGACGAGUGGAAGAAUAGAUGUCCAUUGGAUAGCCGUGAACAUAUUGACAUCGUGUUUUCACAAGGACUUAGGUCAUGGGGCGGCAGGGUAGCCUAGUGGUUAGAGCAUUGGACUAGGAACCAGAAGGUUGCAAGUUCAAAACCCCGAGCUGACAAGGUACUGCCCCUGAGCAGGCAGAUAACCCACUGUUCCUAGGCCGUCAUUGAAAAUAAGAAUUUGUUCUUAACAGACUUGCCUGGUUAAAUAAAGGUUAAAAAAAUGAUUUGGACUUGUCAAAUUUGAAGGCCUAAUGCCAUUUUUGGGUUUCUGUUUCCUUCCUGAUAGCCAGCUAACAUGAUCAUUUAUGCAAAGUAGGGCUUGUAUUGCUAAAUAGUUCAAUGCAAAAAAUACCAGAAAGGCAUAUUGAUCAUAUCCGACGAUGGCUUGUAUUCAAUGUGGAUAUACAGUAUAGUGCCCAACAAUGUUGCAACCAUGCUACAGGCGUUGUGUAGCCUGUUAUGAUAAUGCUGCCUAUAGAAGAAAAAAAACAAAACAUUAAUGACUGACUAGCACUAGCCUAUUCCACCACAAUAGGUCGCUGUGUUACCAUUUUUCCUCCCUUCCUUUCCCUCCCUCCCCUCCAACCAUGGUCCUGCGUAGACUGCUGAUGAGUUAAUGCCAUUCUGGAGGUUAUUCUCCUAGAUUUCUCUCCUUGGUCUGGUCUAGACCUGUGGCAGAGGUCAAAUUGUAGACGUAAUGGUCACUGUCAUUGCAGGCCUAUUAGAAUUGUGCUUUAUGACCAAUUUGAACAUUUCGUAGACUUGCAUUCAGCAACAGAUAAUCAUCAAUAGUGGGGUUGAAGAGUACUGUUUGGGAAAGCCCAUCCUAUGUUAAUAGUUUAAAAAGGCUUCUUGUAGACCAGGGUUGGCCGCAUGUGGUCUCGUUGGGCAGGGGGCUUGCCUUGGAGGAGAUUGGCCAUUAGUUCCGCUUCCUUUGACUCUGUAGCGCACGGGAAUUAGUAGAAUCUCGCUGAAUAGGCAUCUGUAGCCUACGCAAGCAGGGCUGCUGUGUAGUACUAGUAGGCGCAGCAGCGAGACAAGCAGGCGAGCAGAGCCGUCGCUGGCGUAUACAGUGAAUUUACAAUAGACGAACGCGUUGAACAGCGGCACUUGAACCAGAGGAAUAGUGUGGGCCGUUCUGAAAUGGCAGCGGAAUCGACCCGGAGAUUCACGAAGAACCUGCUCAAGCCCGGGAGUGCGGCGGAGAUAAGGCAGACGGCAUCCAAUGCUGUCAGACAUUCGGCAAUGACGGUGAGUCGAUGGGGAAAAACAAAGGUUACGACUGCACCUUCUUCAGUAAUGCUGAGUAGGCCUAUAUUAUAGAGCUCGAUGUGUAGGGUUCCCCCUGUACCCUACAAUGACGCUAUACAGCCGAGAGUCACCCAUUGAUUGUGAAUUGACUGUUGGAGAUGCGAGCCGCACCAUUUGCACCCUGACCCCAACGUUCAGAAUUGUGUUGACGCGAUUUGGGUUUAAUGAACACAGCUGGUACAUUUUAAUUGUGAUAUCAACUGUGAUAUGCCUGCAUGUUUGCAGCGAAGGGAAGUUUGUAUUGAUGCUGCAAUAGACAAUGUUGCUGCAAUAGACGUUGCAUUCGUGUAAAGGAUUUCAUUAAAUGGGCUACAAUGUUGCAUUUGAUGAGGACAUGGGUCGAGGUUUGUGAAUGCUUAUCUUUAAUAACGUUACCCACCUCACGGUUUUACUCGUAUCGAGAUUUGCUGCUCAAAUCGAAGCAGCCGCCUAUUCUCUAGAGAUUUUCGGUAUUUUCCAUGCUGCCUCGUUGAAAUAAAUAAAUAACGGUCCUGGUUGUAGCCUAGUCCUUGGCUUUCCGCGGGAAAUGCCCUCCUGCCUUGAGCCGAGGAUGCUGAAUGACGUAAGCAGUAGUAACAUCAGCCCAGUUUGUGUGUGUGUGUGUGUGUAAAGAAAAAAACAGCGGUGCGAUGGGGUGAGACAACGUAGCUUAAUUUACCCCACCCAUUCACACAUUUCGGAUGGAUUGGCAUUUUAAUUAAGAUACAUUGGCUCUGGAAGAUGUGUGUGUUGUACCUACCAGUGGAGGCUCCUCAGAGGAGGAAGGGGAGGACCAUCCUCAGUGAAUUUCAUAAAAAUUAAAAUAGUGAAAUAUUAAAAAACUUAGAAACCACUCUAAAACUAUUAAAUAUAUGAAUAUUUCACUCCAAAAUGUAUUAAUGAAUGUCAACAGUAGCCUCAACCUCUCAUUCUGGGGUAGCACAAUGGUGUAGUCAGAGGACAGCUAGUUUCCGUUCUCCUCUGGGUACAUUGAAGUCAAUGCAAAACCUAGGAGGCUCAUGGUAAUCACCCCUUCCGUACACUUACACAGUAAUUAUUAUUAUUAUGACAACUUCCGGAGGACGUCCUCCAAUCUAAUAGAGCUCUUGCAGCAUGAACUGACAUGUUGUCCACCCAAUCAAAGGAACGGAGAAUGAAUAUAGUACUGAAAGCAUAAGCUACAGCUAGCUAGCACUGCAGUGCAUAAAAUGUGGUGAGCAGUUGACUCAAAGAGAAUAUAAAUUGUUUAACAGUUUUGAACAGAUUAAUUUAUUCGAAUAUGAAGGAGAAGAGAGAGAGAGAGGAAUAUUUUGUUAUAUUUUUGUUCACUUGCACUUACUUAGCUAGCGAACGCAGCAAGCUAGUUUAGCCUAAUCAAACAACCGGCUCAAACAGAGAAGGAUGCUAUGUUAGCUAGUUGGCCAUGGCUAUCCAACACCGGAACUCUUCCAAGUUAAGGCAAGCUUUUGGUUUGAUUAAGUUAUUGCCAAUGCGGCCGGCCGGUGUAACUGCUAAACUGCUUACUGUACUGCAUGACUACAUGAUUGUUUGCUAACGAGUUCUAGUAGCUAUGUUGACUAUGACAUUAGUAAAUAUGGUGACAACAAUGUAGGCUGUGUGUAGCGGAUAGUGGUUAUGGCAUGAAGGUUUGGCUUGAAAAUGAUUUUUUUUGCCUGGUCACAGUCCACAAGCAAAGGGAAAAGGUGAAAGGAGGGGAGCGUGUAGAUGCGAGAAGGAAUAUACAAUGAGCAAAGUGAUUAUGCUGUUUGGAUGUGACUGCUAGCAACGUGAACUGUGUUUACAGGUGAUCAAGGCUGUAAUUCGUUCCGUCGAUUCUGUUUAAAAACAUUUCUUAAACAGAAGCAGACGGAACAAAAUGGGGAUGAGCAUACCUGAAUUUGUCCAAUAGAAAUUCUUGUUUGCAACUGUUGGACUAAUGAUUACAUCCUAGAUUAGCUAGAUGCAGGCAAGAGUGGGCAAGGCGGUAUUGAAUGUGUCACUGUCUGUCACCAUGAUUACACAAAUUUGUCUCACGACCUGUGCACCUUUUGUUGUAAACUUUAAUUCGUAGGCUAUGUUGUAGCGACCUCAUGAUGGGGGGGGGGGGG
rnacentral:lncRNA from 13 species